rfam:Tupaia chinensis contig116345, whole genome shotgun sequence.
AGCCAUUACGCCAACUGCUGUUCCUAAUGAUUGGGUUUUCAUACUGUUGUUUGAGAUGGGCUUCCUUCAAACCUUGUUACCCACAUUACCUGUCUGAUG